CCUACGGCGGGCAGCAGUGGGGAAUAUUGGACAAUGGGCGAAAGCCUGAUCCAGCCAUGCCGCGUGUGUGAAGAAGGCCUUCGGGUUGUAAAGCACUUUCAGUGGGGAAGAAAGCCUUGGGGCUAAUACCCUCGAGGAAGGACAUCACCCACAGAAGAAGCACCGGCUAACUCCGUGCCAGCAGCCGCGGUAAUACGGAGGGUGCGAGCGUUAAUCGGAAUUACUGGGCGUAAAGCGCGCGUAGGCGGUCUGAUAAGCCGGUUGUGAAAGCCCCGGGCUCAACCUGGGAACGGCAUCCGGAACUGUCAGGCUAGAGUGCAGGAGAGGAAGGUAGAAUUCCCGGUGUAGCGGUGAAAUGCGUAGAGAUCGGGAGGAAUACCAGUGGCGAAGGCGGCCUUCUGGACUGACACUGACGCUGAGGUGCGAAAGCGUGGGUAGCAAACAGGAUUAGAUACCCCGGUAGUC
rnacentral:rRNA from 1 species